rnacentral:rRNA from 1 species
GAUGAACGCUGGCGGCGUGCUUAACACAUGCAAGUCGAACGAAGCAUUUAAGACAGAUUACUUCGGUUUGAGGUCUUUUAUGACUGAGUGGCGGACGGGUGAGUAACGCGUGGGUAACCUGCCUCAUACAGGGGGAUAGCAGCUGGAAACGGCUGGUAAUACCGCAUAAGCGCACAGUACCACAUGGUACAGUGUGAAAAACUCCGGUGGUAUGAGAUGGACCCGCGUCUGAUUAGCUUGUUGGCGGGGUAACGGCCCACCAAGGCGACGAUCAGUAGCCGACCUGAGAGGGUGACCGGCAACAUUGGGACUGAGACACGGCCCAGACUCCUACGGGAGGCAGCAGUGGGGAAUAUUGCACAAUGGAGGAAACUCUGAUGCAGCGACGCCGCGUGAGUGAAGAAGUAGUUCGCUAUGUAAAGCUCUAUCAGCAGGGAAGAUAGUGACGGUACCUGACUAAGAAGCUCCGGCUAAAUACGU